AGCUCUCCACUGGUGCAAUUGAGCACCCACCACCCACAAAGCACCACAGUAAAUAAAUAAAUAAAGGGUGGCAUGGGAAAACAAAAUGUUAAAAAGCUCCUUUGAAAAAAAAGAGAGCCUGAAUGGAAGUUCUUCAGUAUACUAUUUGCAAGGCUAACAUCAUUAGAGUGCUUUGUAUUGGAAAUGCAGUAGGAAGAUUCCAGUAGAUCUUCUGGCUCACCUCAUGAUAAAACAACAUCUGGAUACCAGUACGCAGCCAAAUUAGAGGCCUAGAAGGAUACUUUGAGAUAACUACGGAUACAUCCUGGUUACAAGGAAUUGACUUGUUCUUCAUGGUGUGGUUUGCUCUUCUAUCAACAGAUGCACCACAAAAAUCUCUCAUAUCCCCAAAGAUGUCACAGGAGACGUUCCAAAGCUCACAGAGCUUAGAUAACAAGCAUAUACUGCAUGCAGUGCACAGGACGUGAAAGUGUGAUACCAACCUGAUCUAUCUGGAUUCAUCCUGGCAUCAUCUUCUGUGCCUACUCAUGUUCAUAACUCCCUGGAAGCCAUACCCAGAAACAUGUGUACCUGAGUUGGGUCAUGGUGUGCAGUGUGAGCCCAGGGAAAGGCAGAGGAGCAGCCAGAUGCUUGUGGGUCACUGCAAGAUGGGGCUCAGGCACAAACUUGUGAGUAGGGAAAGGCCAAGAGCAGCUAUCGUAGCACCCCAGUAUAAUUCAGUCCACGUAGAAAGAGGACAGUGUGAGUGUUUGUGAUUGGUAACAGGGAGGAACUGUGCACGUGCUGUUCUGGGAUGGAAGAUGUCCCUCUUCUCUCUUGGGGUAUGUCUGAGAUUUGGUCUAGCUCAAUGUGGCAGAACACAUAGUCUCAACUGUAUGUGAUAUUUCUGUAGUGUUAAUGCAGAAGCCUAUCUGAAUAAGAUCUCUGUUAUUAUAUUUUAUUUGUUUAUUAUAUGGAGAUGUGGGAGAGGAAUCUUGGAUGGAAAUACUGAAAAAUGCUGAUCUUCCUAUUGGAGGAAAGCUUCUGUUUUGCCUGCCUUGGGUGCUGGAUCAAGGUAAUGAUAUCGAAGGACUGUGGGGUGGUCUCCUAUACUCUGCAAAUGCUUAACCUGUUAUAAAGAGGAAAAUAAUCUCUUUGCAGACAGUACUAAAGACAAUUUUUCAAUGUUUCCUACUAAUUCUAUGCGUAGGGCUUUUGCUCAAGUACUAAUGAACAUUAAUACACAUUCAUAUACAGCCACUAAUCUAUUUGCUGUUCUUUCUAAGCAAGAUAAAUAUGUUCCAGUUCCACCUUUUGGAACUCUGUAGAUCCACCUGAUAUUAUGAAAUGGAGAGGGCCAUUUCUGGCUUCUACCCAGAAGUGAUGUGUAAUAUACUGAAGUCCAAAGCCAAGUUAGCUGAUAGUGUGGAAGUGGUAAGGAAUACUUCUCCUUAAUGACUACGGCUGGCUGCAGAGUUAAGCAAGUCCAGAGUGGAAAGGCAGUUCUGAAACCAAAGAAUUUGCUAGUUUUAGAACUACAAACAUGAGAGUUUAUCGGGGUGAGACGACCUUUCGUAUGAGCAUUGCAUGGUUGGGAGAUGAGUGUACAGGAUCUGAGUUGAUUUAAUCUUAUAUCUGCCUCUUCUGCCGAGGAACACCAAGCUACUGUAUGUAGCAUAAGCCUUGACCUGAUACUCCCACGGCAUAAGCUAUAAACCCAAGGUUUCAGUCAAUUCAUGACUCUUUUAUGUGGAUGAGAGGCAUGUGAAAAUGCUAUUUAGUCCAAAACCAGUAAAGAAAAGACCCCAUAAAGAGAUGCAGCUCACAAACAGUGGAGCUGAAUGCUUGCAGCCCACUUAUAUGACAGAACUAAUGGCUUCUAAGAGGCUCAGGGAAGAGAGUGGCAUCAACCCAGCCACAGAAAAAUAGAGAAAAUGGUGAAUGUAGAAUCCUUGUGUGCUAAACUGAGACGGAGUGAAGGUGACUAAGACUUCUCGAUGUGUAGUUAAACCGUCCCAUCCUGAAACAAGGAAGAAGUUGGAAACAAAACUGAGGAAAUACCUUUGUUCUUUCAACAUUGUAAUAUGUUAAUUGCAUUAAGAAGGAAUUUUAUUUUCACUAGAAAAAUGAGUGCCCUGGGUAUGGCACUCAGGAAGGUUGAAGAAACAUGUUUAAUUCCACCUGUAGAUGGGGUUUCUCCAUUAAGGCCCAUGGUUGUCCUUGCACUAUGCUUCUUGUAGCACCACCAGAAAGAAUGAAUUGAAGUUAGAC
rnacentral:lncRNA from 7 species